ensembl:antisense uncharacterized LOC110323543
AUGGUAGCUCACACCUGUAAUCCUAGCCUUCAGGAGGCUGAAGCAGGAGAUUUGCUACAAGUUGUAGGUCUGUCUGGGCCUCCCAGUGAGACUGACUGUUUCAAACAAAAUGAUACUUCUAGCCCACUUUUGGCCCAUUCAACCAACGUUGACUUGUUUUUCAGGGAAGUGGUUGUGGUAAUAACUUACACUAGUUAAUAUCACAGUAAAGGCACAUGAGCAGGUGGCACUGAGCAACCAAAAUUGACACUUGGAGUUCCCUAAGUUCUCAUUCUUAAGAAGUCGGGGCCUCUUACCCUAGAGCAAGAACUACAGCUUGGUACCGUUUGAGUAAUGUCAGGUAUUUGGUCAGUCAUUGCUCAGCACACUAAUUACGUGAAAUGAUGCUUUUCACUAAUAGAUGCAAUCAUCGCUUUCCACAUCACAAAGCAGAAUCUAAGUUGAUUGCCAAACCAUACAAUCCAGAAGCUCUGAGGCUCUCGGUGGGCCUGCUGUUGAAUUUCUAAAGUUUGCCUUAACAGAAUCAGACAGCAGGACGGACUUAGGAGGACAUCUAGUGGCAGAGUCUUGGCUGUCCUGGAACUCACUUUGUAGACUAGGCUGGCCUCGAACUCAGAAAUCCACCUGCCUCUGCCUCCCAAGUGCUGGGAUUAAAGGCAUGUGCCACC